ACGGGUGAGUAACGCGUGGGAAUCUACCUAUCUCUACGGAAUAACCCAGGGAAACUUGGACUAAUACCGUAUACGCCCUUUUGGGGAAAGAUUUAUCGGAGAUGGAUGAGCCCGCGUUGGAUUAGCUAGUUGGUGGGGUAAAGGCCUACCAAGGCGACGAUCCAUAGCUGGUCUGAGAGGAUGAUCAGCCACAUUGGGACUGAGACACGGCCCAAACUCCUACGGGAGGCAGCAGUGGGGAAUAUUGGACAAUGGGCGCAAGCCUGAUCCAGCCAUGCCGCGUGAGUGAUGAAGGCCCUAGGGUUGUAAAGCUCUUUCAACGGUGAAGAUAAUGACGGUAACCGUAGAAGAAGCCCCGGCUAACUUCGUGCCAGCAGCCGCGGUAAUACGAAAGGGGCUAGCGUUGUUCGGAAUUACUGGGCGUAAAGCGCACGUAGGCGGAUAUUUAAGUUAGGGGUGAAAUCCCGGGGCUCAACCCCGGAACUGCCUUUAAUACUGGGUAUCUUGAGUUCGAGAGAGGUGAGUGGAAUUCCGAGUGUAGAGGUGAAAUUCGUAGA
rnacentral:rRNA from 1 species